AAACCAUGGUGAGGACACUUACGUAGCAGAUACUUGAACCGUUCGUGUGCCUCAAAGAGUGUUUCAGAGUCCCCUUGCAGAAAAUAUGAUAUCUCAUGUCUCAGUCG